UGAGAAAGGGGAUCUCUCACAAAUGUUGUGCUGGUGAGUGUCCUGCCCGCCGGGCAAUGUACGAUAAGGUAAAGAAGAACAAGGUAAACUCUCACGACGAAGGAUUAGGGCUUGUAGUUUAGAGUUAUAGACGACGGAUGAACCUCCCGGAACUACAGGUCUAGGAUCCAAUUCUCGGAGGCCAUGAAAGUGGGUAUGAAAGAUACGGGAUCCCUUUCCCUACUUCUGUCACGGGUACGUUGUGUUUUUUUUAUAACCUUUACUUUCUGGGUAAUCUUCGGCAGGCGUAUAUCACAUGACGGUAAACUGGCAGCGCUGUGGGGUCGGAGCAUGAGCCAUUUCCAGACUUCAAGGCUUCCUUCCUCCAAGACGGAGCCCUCAAGUUGCGCUUUGCAGGCGCUGGAGCGACCCUGUGCAGGUUUGUCAUAGUGGGUUUGAUUUCUGUGUGCGUGUGUGCGUGCGUGCAAACGCUGAAGGUGAAGAAUUCGAAUCGCAUGUAGCGCUUCCUUAUGUGUUUGCGAUAGAACUAGGUGGAAACCAGGAGCUAUGGGAUUGAGGUGCAGGCAUCCCGAAGCUGGGUGAGAGCGCGAGCUAUUGUUUGCAACCACAUGGUGCCGAUGCUCUCUCUUUGUGCUCGCCCGACUCAUGCUCAUGAGCUACGAAAUGCGGUUUUUGUUGAAUUGGGUGGGUGUAGGAGAACCACAGAGAGUAAGUAGUAUAUUGUAGCAAUGGUUGAUCCAAACUCGAUGCGAUGCUUCACUUGAUUCGACACUGUUGUAUCUCAAUAACCCAACACUCCAUUCAUCGACGCUGUAAUAUAUCUUACCAGAAACAUGGGGCAAGUGCAUUCGAAAUCGGAGACUGAACAUGUGAGAUGGCAUGUGUCGGUGAGGGAUGUGUAGUGGUGUGGUGGUGGAACGAUCUGCAUAUUUAUUUGCAACUUUGGGGUGCAGAUAAGGAUGCGGUGGUCAACCAAGCAAUAUCUUUUGCGGUGAUGAUACAGGUGCAUUAUAAUUAUUAUUACUAUUGUUACUUGUUUUACAUUAUUCUUUCAUGUUUUGGUUUGUUUUGUUAUUACAACUGUUGUGUUUUGUUUUGUAAUGACUUGCACAAGUCAGCACUGCUCAUCUUGCAAUUACAAUCGUCUUCUUCCUGCUCUUUUUCUUUCUUCUUCAUCAUCAUUCUUUUCCCUUUCCUCUCCCUUUUGUUCUCUAAUUUGUUUUAGACUUUGGGAUUGAAGUGUGGCUUUUGCAAACCAACGAGGUAGUUUGUCUAGCGAAUAAGUGAAAUAUCGUGUGUAGGAACAAUGGUGUUCUGAUAGUCCAGUUUUGUGGUUUUUAUUUUAUUUAUUAAAAAAGAAAAAAGCGUUUGCUCCCAUGUU